UGACAGGGUCACCAUUUGCAGCGCGACAUGGCAGGAGCUGGAGGAGGGAAUGAUAUUCAGAGGUUUUAUUCUCAGGUGAAAGGAGCAGUAGAUGAUGACGUAGCAGAAGCAGAUAUAAUUUCUACAGUAGAGUUUAAUCAUUCUGGAGAAUUACUAGCCACAGGAGAUAAAGGUGGGAGAGCUGUCAUCUUUCAACAAGAGCAGGAGCGCCUUUGACCUGAGGAUCUCAAAGUGCUUUAGAAACACGAAUGAAUUAAUCCUCACAACACCCAGUGAGAACAAAAUCCAGUCUCACAGCAGAGGAGAAUACAAUGUUUACAGCACCUUCCAGAGCCACGAGCCAGAAUUUGACUACUUGAAAAGCUUAGAAAUAGAAGAGAAGAUCAACAAAAUUAGAUGGUUACCCCAGAAAAAUGCUGCCCAGUUUUUAUUGUCUACCAACGAUAAAACAAUAAAAUUAUGGAAAAUCAGUUAAAGAGACAAAAGAGACCAGAAGGCUAUAACUUGAAAGAGGAAGAUGGAAGAUAUAGAGAUCCUACUACAGUCACUACGCUUCGGGUGCCCGUAUUUAGGCCCAUGGAUCUAAUGGUGGAAGCCAGUCCACAGAGAAUAUUUGCCAACACCCACACUUAUCACAUCAACUCAAUUUCUAUCAAUAGUGAUCAUGAAACCUACUUAUCAGCAGAUGAUUUGUUAAUUAAUCUCUGGCAUCUGGAAAUUUAAUAUUGUGGAUAUCAAGCCUGGCAAUGUGGAAGAUCUCACGGAGGUGCUCACAGCUGCAGAAUUUCACCCCAACAGCUGUCACACGUUUGUGUAUACAGCAGCAGUAAAGGGACCAUUGGUUAUGUGACAUGAGGGCAUCUGCGCUUUGUGACAGGCAUUCUAAACUGUUUGAAGAACCUGAAGAUCCCAGCAACACGUCAAUUUUUUUUAAAAAAUAAUCUCCUCUAUUUCUGAUGUAAAAUUCAGCCAUAGUGGUCAUUAUAUGAUGACUAGAAACUAUUUGUUGGUCAAAAUUUGGGACUUGAAUAUGGAAAACAGGCCCGUGGAGACAUAGCAGGUACCUGAAUACCUCAGAAGUAAACUUUGCUCACUGUAUGGAAACGACUGCAUAUUUGACAGAUUUGAAUGUUGGUGGAAUGGGUCUGACAGUGUUGUCAUGACUGGACCCUACAAUCAUUUCUUCAGAAUGUUUGACAGGAACACAAAGCGGGAUAUAACUCUAGAAACAUCACGAGAGAACAAUAAGUCUCACACAGUUUGGAAGCCACGCAGAGUCUGUGCAAGCAGCAAGCGAAAGAAAGAUGAAAUAAGUGUUGACAGCCUAGACUUCAACAAGAAAAUCCUUCAUACAGCCUGGCAUCCCAAGGAAAACAUCAUUGCUGUAGCGACUACAAACAAUCUGUAUAUAUUUCAAGACAAAGUGAAUUAGGCUGGCUUUCUCUGCAGAGGAGCCACAUCCUGCUUAGGGAGAUAGUUGAAUCUAGCAUUCAUACCUAUAAGAGAGCGGUCCACUGUGGCGCCCCUUUCCAGUGUUUGACAGUGUGCCAUUCAACAACACAUUUGAUAGCCUCAUGGAGAAAGCUGUGUGGCUGCAUCCCAGGCUGU